AACAUUUAAGCUAAAGGAAACUUUAGGAGUGACUCUAAGCAGAAGACAUCUCAUGCUUCAAAGAACAACAAACAGCAAUCCCACAGUAUCUUGAUUUUCCAGGUGUCAGACUCCUGCUCCUGAACAACCUUCCAUCCAGCACAGUACAGUUUUGACAGAAAGACAAUAUGGGAGCUGGAGCAUCUUCAACUUCAUCUUCAACUUUAGUUAAUGCUGGUGGAAAUGUCACAAUUAACCUACGAUCUGCAAGACCAAGCUCCAAACUCCAUGUGGCAAAUGCAACUGGGAAGCCACUUCGUAUAUUUUAUGGAGUGGACAAGAAGGAGCUUGAAGAAAUGGUGUUACACGACGGUGGAGAGUCCAGCACCAAGAAGGUCUUUAAGUCUGAUCUCAAGGACCAAUACGUUCAACUCGACAUCAACGCACUCUUACCAUUUCCUGAGAAAGGUGUCGACUAUGCUUGUGUAUUCGUGGAAGAUGAGCAUGACAGAAAUACUUGCCUGGAAACCGUUGUGCUCAACUACAGUGUCACUCCUGGAAAAUCUUUCAUUAUUGCAGCCGACCACAGCAUCAAGAUCCACAAGUUAGGAGCAGGGCCCUGGGUGGAUGAAGAUGGGCAUGACCACUCUACAAAGUAGAUUUACAGCAACACCCAGUUAUUUUCGAUACCAAAUAGAUAAAAAUGGAGAAUCAAUCUUUCAACAAAUAUAGUUGAUAGUAUUCUUUGCUCAAUUAGCAUAUUUGUCUGCAAAAUUAUAGAUUCUUCGUAAACAUCAUCAUAGACAUCCUUACUUAAACAUUGAGCUUAUGCUGCAGAAUCUUCAUUGUUUCUUAUUUAGAAUUCCUUGUAGUAAUACUAAUAAUACAAUGUACAGUACACAUCUUUUUCCUUCACAUUUCCAAGUUAAUGUUGCUUAAAGCUGUCAAUAAAAACUGUGAGAUUUGAAAUACA